rnacentral:lncRNA from 10 species
AUUAAAAAAAAAAGAGAGGGCUUAAAGAAGGAAAGAAUCCUGUAAGGAGAACAUUGGAAAAGUAAAAAGUAAACCACUGGCAAUCUUCUCUAUUAUUUUGUGUCCUCUCUUGGCACUUUCCUUGCAGGCCACUUAAAAUCCCACAGUCAGGCAACUCUAUGCCAUACAAUAGAGGACUUCUGAUACAAGUAAAUUGAACAAAGCAGCUUAAUAUACUCAGGUUGAUUUUUUGGAGUCUCCAUGCUGCUAUAGCAUAUAGUGACAGGCUUGCAUAUAUCACAUGUGUCAUUCUAUCAUUAAUAUAUAUGUGUGGAUUUCUGUUAUGUAAUGUAACUUAAGUACCUGGUCACAGGUAGUCAUGUAGGUGGGAUCGAAUAUGCAAAUAUCACCCUGGAUUUCUAAUUGCUUAAGGUCUUUUGAAUAUCUUCAUUCACUAUAUCAAAUCGAUAACACUUCCAGGAAUAAAGCAACAAAGUUGGCUUUCCUGGCUUCAGAAAGAAAAUUUUAUCUUAAACAUCCUUUAUGGAUACAAAUCUGAAUUAGUUCUGAAGAGUCCCAUAUUGAAAGAGUUUAAAACUAUUUUUCUCCUGAAACUUAUUUUAUUGUAUAAUAACUCACUUUGUGCAGACAUCCUUCCUCAGAUCUAAUCUAAACCCUCUGUACUGCAUUUUAUUCUUUUCCCUUUGUUCUGGCUCAGCAAUCAGAAGAACAGAUGGCCAUCUUCUGUCAGUACUUGAAGACUGUUUCUAAGAAACAUUAAGCCUCCAUCAGGCUCACUUGUUAAUGCAAAAGUCCCACUCAGGACAGAAGCUGGGACAAUCUUUGAAGUUGUCAGGUAUUGAGUUUGAGCAAAUGGAAUGGAAUGUGCUGGAACUGGUCCUUGCAGCAUCCUCCUGACACCUUGGGUCUAUUUGCAUAGUGCAGGUGGCUGAGAUGUCACUAGGCUCUUGAGAGACUUCAGGAACAAGUUGAGGGUUCUGCCUGUCAUCUGAGUUUAUGUACCAUGUACAAGACAACCUCACACUGUUUCUAACAUGAAAUGUUAAAAAUUGUUAUAUCUUUUUCAAAAGGGAGAACCCUUUCUGAUUAGUAAGAAGAAUCGGCCAGGCGCAGUGGCUCACACCUGUAAUCCCAGCACUUUGGGAGGCCGAGGUGGGUGGAUCACUUGAGGUCAGGAGUCCAAGACCAGCCUGGCUAACAUGAUGAAACCCCGUCUCUACUAAAAAUACAAAAAUUAACCGGGAGUGGUGGCAGGUGCCUGUAAUCCCAGCCACUAGGGAAGAUGAGGCACACGAAUCUCUUGAAUCCCGGAGUUGGAGAUUGUAGUGAGCCAAGAUCGCGCCACUGCAGUCCAGCCUGGGUCACAGAGUGAGACUCUCUCAAAAAAUAAAAAUAAAUUUAAAAAAAUAAAAAGAAUCUUAAUUUUUAAAGUUAGUUGAAAAUGUGAAUCCUUUUUAGGUUAAAAUGGGCCUUGCUCUUUUGUUUACUCAGGGCAAAGUGGAAAGGAGGAGACAAUCACUGGUAGGUCUCUGGUAUGCGUGUUCUAGAGUGGGUACAAAUGACCAUUUGAUGAGUUGUUUCUAGGAACUUUAUACAUACCAUGAGAACUGAUGAAAAAUCUCAUUAAUUCCUUAGGAACAUUACCUCCCUUAAUGAAAGGAAAACAGCCUAUUGGCUCUCUAAUAGUAAUCAAGUGAAGUGUGGAUAAUUCUAGACUUUUAUUUUUAAUCACCACUUAUAGGAAGCUGUACUUUUUACCACUAGGGUGUAACCAGAAACUAUUACAAGCAAUUUAAUUGCAAUGUGGAUCCCCCUUUUCUGUAAAGAUUUCAUUCUAACUUGGGAUUACCUUCUUGAUCAAGGAGGCUUUAUCAGAUAAUCCUGACAUCUCAGUUACAGAGCAAGCAAAACUUUGCCUCCAUGCUCUUAGGUCCUCUGGUUGGGCCUGAGAAUUAAAUUGGCAUAAAAUAUAUUAACAGGAGAAAAAUACACAGACUUUUUACAUGUACAUGGGAGCUGCCAUAGGAAAAUAAAGACCCUAAGAAGUGGUAAAAACCCAAAUGCUUAUAUAGCAGAUUGAAUAAAGAGUGACAAUUGUGGAAAAGUAACUAAAAUGUGUGGGGAGGCUCAAGGAAGAUAAGAGUUAUUUUAACAAGGUCUGUUUGUACAGGUUUUUUUUUAGUCUCAACUCCUCAUCUCCGGUGACAAGAAUGUUUCUUCUCUUCUGGUACAGGGAGCGCAUCUUUCACAUGGGAGUUUUUGUCUCCUGUUUGCAGGAAGAAAAGAGGAGAUUGGAAUGCCCUUCUUGCAUUUGCUGUUUUUCAAGGGCCUUUAGCUCAAAAUAAUCUUUACACCAAACUAGCAUAUUUUGGGGUGACAUAUUCUGCCACCCUUCACAGUCUGUGAUGGUUAAUUUUAUGUGUCAGCUUCUCUAGGGUAAGGGAAGUCCAUAUAACUGGUAAAACAUUAUUUCUGGGUGUGUCUUUGAGGAUGUUGCUGGAAAAGAUUAGCAUUUGAGUCAGUGGACUAAGUAAGAAAAUCACUAACAUGGGCAGGCAUCGUCCUAUCCAUUGAGGGUCAGAAUAGAACAAAAAGGCAGAGAAAGAAUGAAUUCUCUUUUUUUGAGCUGGGGCAUCUAUCUUCUCCUGACUUCAGGUAUCAGAGUUUCUGGUUCUCAGGUCUUUGGACUUGGCCUGAAUUUCACUGCCUGCUUUCCUGUUUCUCCAGUUUGCAGAAGGCAGAUCAUGAGACUGCUAACCCUCUAUUAGCACAUUAGUCCAUUCCCAUAAUUGAUGGGGGGUGUGUGUGUGUGUGUGUGUGUGUGUGUGUGUGUGUGUGUGUUGGGAGCUAUCUCCUCUUUUGUUUUUUUUUUUCUCUGAAGAACACUAACAUACAGCUUCUUAUACAAAUAAACUGAUGUUUAAAAACUUCUAUGUUCAUUUAAAUGAUUUUAAAUUAUGUAUUAAACCUCUAUGUUCAAUAAAUAAACUACCACGCUUAAAUUUUUAC